AUUGAACGCUGGCGGCAGGCCUAACACAUGCAAGUCGAGCGAGCGGCGGACGGGUGAGUAAUGUCUGGGAAACUGCCUGAUGGAGGGGGAUAACUACUGGAAACGGUAGCUAAUACCGCAUACCAUCAGAUGUGCCCAGAUGGGAUUAGCUAGUAGGUGGGGUAACGGCUCACCAAGGCCACGAUGCAUAGCCGACCUGAGAGGGUGAUCGGCCACACUGGGACUGAGACACGGCCCAGACUCCUACGGGAGGCAGCAGGGGGGAAUAUUGGACAAUGGGCGAAAGCCUGAUCCAGCCAUGCCGCGUGUGUGAAGAAGGUCUUCGGAUUGUAAAGCACUUUAAGUUGGGAGGCGUUACCAACAGAAUAAGCACCGGCUAACUUCGUGCCAGCAGCCGCGGUAAUUC
rnacentral:rRNA from 1 species